GACGAACGCUGGCGGCGUGCCUAAUACAUGCAAGUUGAGCGCUGAAGGUUGGUACUUGUACCAACUGGAUGAGCAGCGAACGGGUGAGUAACGCGUGGGGAAUCUGCCUUUGAGCGGGGGACAACAUUUGGAAACGAAUGCUAAUACCGCAUAAAAACUUUAAACACAAGUUUUAAGUUUGAAAGAUGCAAUUGCAUCACUCAAAGAUGAUCCCGCGUUGUAUUAGCUAGUUGGUGAGGUAAAGGCUCACCAAGGCGAUGGUACAUAGCCGACCUGAGAGGGUGAUCGGCCACAUUGGGACUGAGACAAGGCCCAAACUCCUACGGGAGGCAGCAGUAGGGAAUCUUCGGGAAUGGACGAAAGUCUGACCGAGCAACGCCGCGUGAGUGAAGAAGGUUGUCGGAUCGUAAAACUCUGUUGGUAGAGAAGAACGUUGGUGAGAGUGGAAAGCUCAUCAAGUGACGGUAACUACCCAGAAAGGGACGGCUAACUACGUG
rnacentral:rRNA from 1 species